rnacentral:rRNA from 1 species
UUGGAGGGCAAGUCUGGUGCCAGCAGCCGCGGUAAUUCCAGCUCCAAUAGCGUAUAUUAAAGUUGUUGCAGUUAAAAAGCUCGUAGUUGAACUUCGGGAUCAAUUGAUUGGUCAUGCCGUUGGUAUGUACUGGUCAUAUUGGUUCUCACCUUCUAAGGAACCAUAAUGUCAUUAAUUUGAUGUUUUGGGGAAUUAGGACUGUUACCUUGAAAAAAUUAGAGUGUUUAAAGCAGGCUAACGCUUGAAUACAUUAGCAUGGAAUAAUGAAAUAGGACAUCGCAUUCUAUUUUGUUGGUUUCUAGGAUCGAUGUAAUGAUUAAUAGGGAUAGUUGGGGGCAUUAGUAUUCAAUUGUCAGAGGUGAAAUUCUUGGAUUUAUUGAAGACUAACUACUGCGAAAGCAUUUGCCAAGGAUGUUUUCAUUAAUCAAGAACGAAAGUUAGGGGAUCGAAGACGAUCAGAUACCGUCGUAGUCUUAACCAUAAACUAUGCCGACUAGGGAUCGGAUGAUGUUGAUUUUUUAAUGACUCAUUCGGCGCCUUACGGGAAAC